rnacentral:lncRNA from 1 species
AUGACAUUGUUUUUGACAGAAGGCAAAAUGCAGCGGAACAGAAACAGCUCUGCCUGUAAUGAACAGAGGGUGGAACAAAAACGAUGCCUUCUUACAGAGACAGGGAAGGCAUUGUAUGUGAGGGGGAAAAAACCUGUGAAUUUUUGCAAGCCCCCAACCAUUCCACUUCAUUUCCACCCUCAAGAAGCAUUCACCUCCAAAUGGCUCUGUGGGUCACAGAAGACAUUUUCAAAAGAACAGGCAAACGCCACAAGGAGGUAUUGGAAGCUGAAGACGUGACAAGACUUAGUGAGAUGGGAGAGUCUGGGGCAGAGAAACGUCCAGAAUCAUAGGCAGAAGCUGAAGCAGGAAAGGAGGGAGGCCAAGAGGCAGAGACAAGUCAUUCAGGGGAAGAGCCACAGGUGUCUUCCCCUUCUGUGAUGACAAGCUCCCCUACCCCUGGUCUUCCAAAAUGAGAAGAGGCAUGAAGAGGCUGGAGGAGAUGUUGACUUCAUGCAGGCAUGGUCUCCGGUUGCUUGGGGGAAACCCUGGAGAGGAGGGGACUUAGUCGUGGGGAGGUGGAGAACUUUCUCAGCAACUGAUUCAUGGGGCAACGCCUACAGGAGAUGAAGUGCUGUGCUCAGUAGACCUGACACUCCAUCACCUCUGUGCAGAUUGUGUUCUUGCUAAUAAAGAGUUAACUCCACCUUGCACAGUGUGAUUUACUGCUCCCUCGCUCCUGACACCAACCUGGUACCAUCCACAUAUUUGGGGCUAUGGCCACAUUCGUACUAUACAUUUAAAGCACUAUGAUAGUGCUAUAAUCAGUCGCAGCUUCCCUCAAAGAAUUAUUAGAAGUGCAGUUUUUUAAGGAUGCUGAGAGUUGUCAGGCGAUCCCCUUAUUCCCCUCACAGAGCUACGGUUCCCAAAAUUCACAGAGAAGAG